GACGAACGCUGGCGGCGUGCCUAAUACAUGCAAGUUGAGCGCUGAAGGAUGGUACUUGUACCAACUGGAUGAGCAGCGAACGGGUGAGUAACGCGUGGGGAAUCUGCCUUUGAGCGGGGGACAACAUUUGGAAACGAAUGCUAAUACCGCAUAAAAACUUCAAACACAAGUUUUAAGUUUGAAAGAUGCAAUUGCAUCACUCAAAGAUGAUCCCGCGUUGUAUUAGCUAGCUGGUGAGGUAAAGGCUCACCAAGGCGAUGAUACAUAGCCGACCUGAGAGGGUGGUCGGCCACAUUGGGACUUAGACACGGCCCAAACUCCUACGGGAGGCAGCAGUAGGGAAUCUUCGGCAAUUGACGAAAGUCUGACCGAGCAACGCCGCGUGAGUGAAGAAGGUUUUCGGAUCGUAAAACUCUGUUGGUAGAGAAGAACGUUGGUGAGAGUGGAAAGCUCAUCAAGUGACGGUAACUACCCAGAAAGGGACGGCUAACUACGUG
rnacentral:rRNA from 1 species